GCGUCCUACGGGGCGCAGCAGUGAGGAAUAUUGGUCAAUGGCCGGAAGGCUGAACCAGCCAAGUCGCGUGAGGGACGACUGCCCUAUGGGUUGUAAACCUCUUUUAUAAGGGAAGAAUAAAUGCUACGUGUAGCAUGAUGCCUGUACCUUAUGAAUAAGCAUCGGCUAACUCCGUGCCAGCAGCCGCGGUAAUACAGAGGAUGCGAGCGUUAUCCGGAUUUAUUGGGUUUAAAGGGUGCGUAGGCGGUUUUUUAAGUUAGUGGUUAAACGUCGGGGUUUCAACUUGAUUUGACAUUAAUACUGUA
rnacentral:rRNA from 1 species